UUGCUAUCUGCGAUAUGGAAGAUUCGAACCUGCCGCAGGUUCGGGUCGAACGCAGUGAGACAACGGAACCGUUUACGGCGACGGCCCGAAGGGCGAGCGAAGCGAGUCAUCCUGCACGACCCACCA
rnacentral:sRNA from 2 species